rnacentral:misc_RNA from 1 species
CAAUGAUAAAGCAAGCGGAAAAGACUGCAAGAGAAUUUGACAUUAUAGUCAGAGUAGGUAGUCUAAGUAAUGAUAUACACAUAACAUUAAAGUUACAAAAUAUUAAGAAUAAUUAACUUCAUGGGCUAAAAAUUGUCAAGGAAACUUGCAAUGACUAUUUUGGGAGAGAGCAAUUAAUAGCCCAGAUCCAUCAUCAUGGUAAAUCCAGAUUUGAAAAUUAGGAUAUGCUCAACAAUGAAAUAUAGCAGUUUAGUACAAAUUUGAUAUUUUCAUGUGUUCCGUGUCGUAAACUUUACUAACAAGGAUUCAAGUAUCCCAAGAGAUAUGUAAAAAUAUUUUUUCAAAAAAAAAAAAUCUUAUUUAACUUGUACUCACAGCCAUACUCUCGAGGCCUCCUGU